rnacentral:lncRNA from 1 species
UAUUCUCAUCUUCAAUGGCCAAACUAUAUCUGUUGUUUCAAUUGCUUGUAUAAUAAUCUAUCUAUGUUGAUUCUACUUUGAGAACUAUCUUCAUGAACUCGUAUACAAAGUAACUAAUAGCAGCAGAUGGUUAUACCUGCAAUAAGCUGGGAGUUAAUCCUGCAUAGAGAGCAGGAACACCUCCUUGCUCAACAAUCUUGACACAAGUUGCUAGCGCGUUCAAUCUUGUUGCCCUAACCUGCAAUUGAAGCUGUCUCCUUACAACUUCAAAGGGAUAUGUAGCAGCUUCAGAACAACAACCAGCAAUAGC